UACAGGGGGCGCAAACGUUGCUCGGAAUUAUUGGGCGUAAAGCGCGCGUAGGCGGCUACCUAAGUCGGAUGUGAAAGCCCCUGGCUUAACUGGGGAAGUGCACCCGAAACUGAGUAGCUAGAGUGCGAAAGAGGGUCGCGGAAUUCCCGGUGUAGAGGUGAAAUUCGUAGAUAUCGGGAGGAACACCGGUGGCGAAGGCGGCGACCUGGGUCGACACUGACGCUGAGGCGCGAAAGCGUGGGGAGCAAACAGG
rnacentral:rRNA from 1 species